UACGUAGGGGGCGAGCGUUGUCCGGAAUCAUUGGGCGUAAAGAGCGUGUAGGCGGCCCGGUCAGUCUGGUGUGAAAUCUUGAGGCUCAACCUCAAGCUGUCAUCGGAUACUGCCGGGCUAGAAUCCGGAAGAGGAGAGUGGAAUUCCUGGUGUAGCGGUGGAAUGCGCAGAUAUCAGGAGGAACAUCCGUGCGAAGGCGGCUCUCUGGUACGGUACUGACGCUGAGACGCGAAAGCGUGGGGAGCGAA
rnacentral:rRNA from 1 species